GGGGUGUGGCUUAGUAGUGGAGCACUUGCCUAGCAUGUGUGAGGUCCUGGGUUCCAUUCCCAGCACUGCCA
rnacentral:tRNA from 1 species